rnacentral:rRNA from 1 species
UACGAAGGGGGCUAGCGUUGCUCGGAAUCACUGGGCGUAAAGGGCGCGUAGGCGGGCUGACAAGUCAGGGGUGAAAUCCCGCGGCUCAACCGCGGAAGUGCCUCUGAUACUGGCGGCCUCGAGGGAGGUAGGGCGUGCGGAACUUCCGGUGGAGCGGUGAAAUGCGUAGAUAUCGGGAGGAACACCAGUGGCGAAGGCGGUUGCCUGGGGCUUUGCUGACGCUGAUGCGCGAAAGCGUGGGGAGCGAUCCGG